rnacentral:rRNA from 1 species
CCUACGGGCGGCAGCAGUGAGGAAUAUUGGUCAAUGGCCGCAAGGCUGAACCAGCCAAGUCGCGUGAGGGAUGACGGUCCUAUGGAUUGUAAACUUCUUUUGUCAGGGAGCAAAGUGCGUCACGUGUGGCUUUUUGCGAGUACCUGAAGAAAAAGCAUCGGCUAACUCCGUGCCAGCAGCCGCGGUAAUACGGAGGAUGCGAGCGUUAUCCGGAUUUAUUGGGUUUAAAGGGUGCGUAGGCGGAAUGUUAAGUCAGCGGUAAAAUUUCGGGGCUCAACCCCGUCGUGACGUUGAAACUGGAGGUCUUGAGUGAGCGAGAGGUAUGCGGAAUGCGCGGUGUAGCGGUGAAAUGCAUAGAUAUCACGCAGAACUCCGAUUGCGAAGGCAGCAUACCGGCGCUCAACUGACGCUGAGGCACGAAAGCGUGGGUAUCGAACAGGAUCAGAUACCCGUGUAGUC